rnacentral:rRNA from 2 species
GUAUAGGCGAUGGAAAUUUUAUCCUGGCACAAUAGACAUAGUACCAUAAGGGAAAGAUGAAAGAACUGAAUCAAGCAUUAAAAAGCAAAGACAAACCCUUAUACCUUCUGCAUAAUGUAUUAACUAGAAAUAACUAACUUUACACAGAGACCCAUAGCCAAGUCCCCUGAAACCAGACAAGCUACCCAAGAACAGCUGAAGAGCACACCUACCUAUGUGGCAAAAUAGUGGGAAGAUUCAUGAGUAGCAGUGACAAACCUACCGAGCCUGGUGAUAGCUGGUUGUCCAAGAUAGAAUCUUAGACAACUCCCUAUACCAGAUCCUCUAAUUAAUUUUAAUAAAGGCCUUCUAUUUAUACUAGCCACAUCAAGCCUAGCCGUCUACGUACCCACAGAAUUACUUAGUCCCCUGUAAGUUUAACUGCUAGUCUGAAGAGGGACAGAUCUUUAGACCCUAGGAAAUAACCUUCCUCCAGAGAGUAAACAUUAUUACCACCAUAGUUGGCCCAAAAGCAGCCACCAAUUAAGAAAGCAUUCAAGCUCAACAUCUAUUUUAAAUUCUAAUCACUCUACUGAACUCCUAACAUUACGUUGGACUAAUCUAUUACUUAAUAGAAGCAAUAAUGUUAAUAUAAGUAACAUGAAGAUAUCCUCCAUCACAUAAGCUUACAUCAAACCGGAAUAACCCACUGACCGUUAACAGCCUAAUAUUAAUAAGUGAUACAAUAAGCACCUUAUUAUUUAUACUGUUAAUCCAACAAAGGUAUUCUUGAAGGAAAGGUUACAAAAAGUAAAAGGAACUCGGCAAAUCUUACCCUGCCUGUUUACCAAAAACACCACCUCUAGCAUUACCAGUAUUAGACAUGUCCCCAGUGACAUAUGUUCAACAGCUGUGGUAUCCUGACUGUGCAAAGGUAGCAUAAUCACUUGUUCUCUAAAUAGGGACUUGUAUAAAUGGCCACACGAGGCUUCAGCUGUCUCUUACUUUUAAUCAGUGAAACUGACCUAUCCGGCGGGAUAUAAACAAGAUGAGAAGACCCUAUGGAGCUUUAAUUCAUUAAGGCAAAUAGAAACUCGCCCUAACCCAUUACCAUUGCAUUAAAAAUUUUGGCUGGGGUGACCUUGGAGCAUAAUUUAACCUCCGAACAACCUAAACUAAAAUGGCACUAGUCUAAGCGAGUUAACAUAUAUUGACCCAAUAAUUUAACUGAACAAGUUACCCUACGGAUAACAGUGUAAUCCUAUUCUAGAGUCCAUAUAGACAAUAGGGUUUACGACCUCAAUGUUGGAUCAGGACAUCCUAAUGUAGCUGCUAUUAAGGGUUCAUUUGUUCAACAAUUAAAGUCCUAUGUGAUCUGAGUUUAGACUGGAGUAAUCCAGGUCGGUUUCUAUCUAUUUAAUAUUUCUGCUAGUACGA